GGGCGGAGGGGGGCCUAUACAUGCAGUCGAGCGAUGGGUAAGGAGUUGGUCCCUUUGAAGUUAGCGGCGGAGGGGUGAGACACGCGGGCGUAACCUAUGUAUAAGAGUGAAAUAUCUGCGGAAAAGGGGAGCAAAUGGCGGAUAACAUUUGCAACCGCAUGGAUCUAAAGAAAAAGAUGGUUUUGCUAUCACUUAUAGAUGGACCCGCGCCGUAUUAGCUAGUUGGUAAGGUAACGGCUUACCAAGGCAACGAUACGUAGCCGACCUGAGAGGGUGAUCGGCCACACUGGAACUGAGACACGGCCCAGACUCCUACGGGAGGCAGCAGUAGGGAAUCUUCCGCAAUGGACGAAAGUCUGACGGAGCAACGCCGCGUGAGUGAUGAAGGUUUUCGGAUCGUAAAACUCUGUUAUUAGGGAAAGAACAAAUGUGUAAGUAACUGUGCACAUCUUGACGGUACCUAAUCAGAAAGCCACGGCUAACUACGUGCCAGCAGCCGCGGUAAUACGUAGGUGGCAAGCGUUAUCCGGAAUUAUUGGGCGUAAAGCGCGCGUAGGUGGUUCUCUUAAGUCUGAUGUGAAAGCCCACGGCUCACCCGUGGAGGUUCAUUGGAAAACUGGGAAACUUGGAGUACAGAAGAGGAAAGUGGAAUCUCCAUGUGUAGCGUGAAUGCGCAGAGAUUUGGAGAAACACCAGUGGCGAAGGGCGACUUUUCUGGUCUGUAACUGACGCUGAUGCGCGAAAAGCGUGGAGAAUCAAACAGGAAUUAGAUACCCUGGGUAGUCCACCGCGUAAACGAUGGAGGGGCUAAGGUGUUAGGGGUUUCCGCCCCUUAGUGCUUGCAGCAUAACGCAUUAAGCCACUCCGGCCUGGGGAGUACGACCGCAGUUGAAACCUCAGAGGAUUGAC
rnacentral:rRNA from 1 species